rnacentral:tRNA from 1 species
GAGGGUAUAGGUCAGUGGUAGUGCACCUGCUUAGUAUGCACGAGGUCUUGGGUUCAAUCCCCAGUACCUCCA